rfam:Clostridium lentocellum DSM 5427, complete genome.
GCGGGUGUAGUUCAAUGGUAGAACUUCAGCCUUCCAAGCUGACUACGUGGGUUCGAUUCCCAUCACCCGCU